rnacentral:lncRNA from 1 species
CCUUCAUCCUGCGCUCUCUCAAAGCAAGCAAGCCAGAUUCGGUGCAUAUUGCUUUGAUGUCAGCACCAGAAAACUCAUCCUUAGUCAUGACGAACUCUUCCAGGUUCACAUCAUCUGACAAUGUCAUCUUUGCCGUGUGUAUCUGCAAGAUUUAUGAUGCUCACGAGGACCAAACAAGAUAACAUGCUGUAAUGUUAAGAUCAACAUAUAGACUAAUUAAAAAGGUACCUGGAAGAUGCGCCGCCUAGUCUUAAUGUCUGGAAGAGGGAAUUCUAUCUUUCGGUCUAUUCUGCCAGGGCGAAGCAAGGCUGGAUCAAGACUUUCAAUGCGAUUUGUAGCUAGAAUAACUUUAACAUCUCCACGCGAGUCAAAACCAUCUAGCUGGUUCAGCAGCUCCAACAUAGUUCUCUGAAUCUCACGCUCCCCUCCUGAAUGAGCGUCAUACCUCUUUGUUCCAACUGCAUCGAUCUCAUCGAUGAAGACUAUUGAGGGGGAAAGCUCAUCCGCAACUCUAAAUAGUUCUCUAACUAGUUUUGGACCGUCGCCAAGGUACUUCUGAAUAAGUUCACUUCCAACAACACGUAAGAAAGUUGCAGAUGUGGAGUUAGCAACAGCCUGCAAUAACAAUUUCAAGUAACCAUAGGUCAUACAUCAGCACUCAAUUAAAUGUUAUUUGAAAGUAUAUAAUGCAAAAUAAAGCAACAAUUCAGACAAAUAUUAAAGCCUGGAAUGAAUUAAGGAGGACUGAAGCCUAAAAUUCUCCUCGAAGAAAUAUAAGCAAUAGAUGUCCAGUGCAAAGGCCAGAAGACUGACCUUGGCAAGUAGAGUUUUCCCCGUUCCAGGUUCUCCAUAUAAUAUGACCCCCUUGGGUGGCCUUAUUCCAAUGUCUUCAUAUAGCUCAGGGUGGGUCAGCGGAAGCUCAACCGCCUCUUUUAUUUCUUGAAUCUGAGCAUCUAACCCACCAAUGUCCGCAUAUGAUUCCAGCGG